rnacentral:rRNA from 1 species
GCAGUCGAACGAGAUCUUCGGAUCUAGUGGCGCACGGGUGCGUAACGCGUGGGAAUCUGCCCUUGGGUUCGGAAUAACUUCUGGAAACGGAAGCUAAUACCGGAUGAUGACGUAAGUCCAAAGAUUUAUCGCCCAAGGAUGAGCCCGCGUAGGAUUAGCUAGUUGGUGGGGUAAAGGCCCACCAAGGCGACGAUCCUUAGCUGGUCUGAGAGGAUGAUCAGCCACACUGGGACUGAGACACGGCCCACACUCCUACGGGAGGCAGCAGUAGGGAAUAUUGGACAAUGGGCGAAAGCCUGAUCCAGCAAUGCCGCGUGAGUGAUGAAGGCCUUAGGGUUGUAAAGCUCUUUUACCCGGGAUGAUAAUGACAGUACCGGGAGAAUAAGCUCCGGCUAACUCCGUGCCAGCAGCCGCGGUAAUACGGAGGGAGCUAGCGUUGUUCGGAAUUACUGGGCGUAAAGCGCACGUAGGCGGCUAUUCAAGUCAGAGGUGAAAGCCCGGGGCUCAACCCCGGAACUGCCUUUGAAACUAGAUAGCUUGAAUCCAGGAGAGGUGAGUGGAAUUCCGAGUGUAGAGGUGAAAUUCGUAGAUAUUCGGAAGAACACCAGUGGCGAAGGC